rnacentral:sRNA from 1 species
GGCGUUGCUGCUUUUGUUCCUGCUCGGCCCCAGCUUGGUCCUCGCCAUCUCCUUCCAUCUGCCCAUUAACUCUCGCAAGUGCCUCCGUGAGGAGAUCCACAAGGACCUGCUAGUGACUGGCGCGUACGAGAUCUCCGACCAGUCUGGGGGCGCUGGCGGCCUGCGCAGCCACCUCAAGGUGCGGCAUUGGGCGAUGUGGGGCCGGGAGGGAAGACGGCAGGCUUAGGCGAGGGGAGGCUUGGGUUCGGGGGAGUCGAGCCGGCGGAGGCCUGGGAGUUGUUCUGGCCUCUCGGGAGCGCAAAGGACGUGCGGUGGAGCCCGCCCCCUCACCCCGCUGGUCGCCUUUCGCGGGGCGGGGCGGGGCACCAACGCCUGGGAACCCCAAGAAGGGCUGCGAGGCUUUGGCGGAUGUGGUGACACCUGAGCUGGGCGGUUGUCAACGUCCUAUACCAGUUUUGGUCUCAGAUACAUUGAACCGUAAUUUGGUUCUCCAAAUAAGUGUUGGGAUGUUGAAUAUUUAUGGGGAUUGGCACCAUAAGAUACCGCGAUACCUGCAGGAAAGUAAAGGAGACAAAGCUAACUGUGAUUAAUAAAAUGUUAUUUAUUGAGCA